GGCGGCAUGCCUUACACAUGCAAGUCGAACGGCAGCACGGGUGCUUGCACCUGGUGGCGAGUGGCGAACGGGUGAGUAAUACAUCGGAACAUGUCCUGUAGUGGGGGAUAGCCCGGCGAAAGCCGGAUUAAUACCGCAUACGAUCUACGGAUGAAAGCGGGGGACCUUCGGGCCUCGCGCUAUAGGGUUGGCCGAUGGCUGAUUAGCUAGUUGGUGGGGUAAAGGCCUACCAAGGCGACGAUCAGUAGCUGGUCUGAGAGGACGACCAGCCACACUGGGACUGAGACACGGCCCAGACUCCUACGGGAGGCAGCAGUGGGGAAUUUUGGACAAUGGGCGAAAGCCUGAUCCAGCAAUGCCGCGUGUGUGAAGAAGGCCUUCGGGUUGUAAAGCACUUUUGUCCGGAAAGAAAUCCUUGGCUCUAAUACAGUCGGGGGAUGACGGUACCGGAAGAAUAAGCACCGGCUAACUACGUGCCAGCAGCCGCGGUAAUACGUAGGGUGCGAGCGUUAAUCGGAAUUACUGGGCGUAAAGCGUGCGCAGGCGGUUUGCUAAGACCGAUGUGAAAUCCCCGGGCUCAACCUGGGAACUGCAUUGGUGACUGGCAGGCUAGAGUAUGGCAGANGGGGGUAGAAUUCCACGUGUAGCAGUGAAUGCGUAGAGAUGUGGAGGAAUACCGAUGGCGAAAGCAGCCCCCUGGGCCAAUACUGACGCUCAUGCACGAAAGCGUGGGGNGCAAACAGGAUUAGAUACCCUGGUAGUCCACGCCCUAAACGAUGUCAACUAGUUGUUGGGGAUUCAUUUCCCUUAG
rnacentral:rRNA from 1 species